rnacentral:rRNA from 1 species
UACGUAGGGUGCAAGCGUUAUCCGGAAUCACUGGGCGUAAAGCGUGCGUAGGUGGCGCGUUAAGUGAGAUGUUAAAUCGUGUGGCUCAACCAUAUCGAUGCAUCUCAUACUGGCGUGCUAGAGGACGGCAGAGGCAAGUGGAAUUGGUAGUGUAGCAGUGAAAUGCGUAGAUAUUACCAGGAACACCAAUGGGGAAGGCAGCUUGCUGGGCCACUCCUGACACUGAGGUACGAAAGCGUGGGGAGCGAACAGG